GUGUAUAUUUUAUGUGCAUAUUAUAUUUUGUAACGAAUUGAGGAGCUAUCUAUCAUGGACGACAAUCAUUUUUCGUUGCUGCUGUACCUGCGAUAAAAAGCCCGAUUUUCAGAAUAAUUGGAGUCUAUCAUGGCCGAAACAAGAAAACUAGGUCGUCCUUCAUUUUCCCCAACGAGAAAAGAAGCAUUUAGAAAGGAUUCCAACAUGUCCAAGAAGAUGUUUCGAGAUAAAAAGCGGAAGGAGCGAGAUGAGGCUUUGUCUACCGUCGUGCCGCCGACCGCACCCCGCUACAAACAUAUUCGCAUUUCAACCGCUACGUUCUGGCGAUGGCGAUCACUUGCUCAAGAGCUUGGCCUGGAAGGAGACGAACAGAUGGCUUCAUUUCUCUUAAACACGUACUAUGAGCGGGCAGUGGAAGCUGCUUCUAAAGAACAGAGACAAGAUAUUCCCCAGAAUUCCGAAGAAUCGAGGCAAAAUGUAGAGACUUCCAUGUUCCAAGGUGAUGAGCAAGGCACAGAGACAGAUGCCAUGGGAUCUACAACACUGCCAAUGCAAGCUACGCAAGAUGGCUGGAGAGGUGAUGAUGGUGACAAGAGUCACAAGACUAAUGAUGGUGGUGAGAUGUUAGAAGGGGAGUUCACCUGCCUUGUCAAAACGGAACCUCACGAUAGUGGUGAAGAAUCCAAUGAACAUGGAACAUUACCAUCCGUCAGCCAACAAGGAGACAGCUUGACAGGAGAUGAUGAUGAUAGGAAGGAGAUUGAAGAAGUGGAGUUUAAAUGUCUUAUCAAAGAAGAACCGGAUGAUGGUGAACGCAACCAACCAUCCUGCAGCAAGCAAGGUGGGAAUUCGAGUGUGCAGAGCAUCUGUGAAGACAUCAGGAAAAAUGAGGGAAUGUCAGGUGAUACAUCAUGUGACAGAUCACAUGUUCAUGGACAGAGUGCUGGUACCAGUGCUGUUUCAGAUCAAUUGGCUGAAGAUAUCACGACCCAAUCUGUGUACGGUGGGAAUUCAAGCAAACAGAGCUCCUGUCAAGAAAUAGGGAACACUCAGAUAAUGUCAGGUGAUACAUCACAUGACAGAUCACAUGGGAAGCAUCUCCCAGGUGACUACCCUUUACCAGCUGUCCUAGGAACCCCUUCCCAUUCAUCUCCCAGAGGCCAUCGCUCAAAUGGAAAUUCAAGUGUGCUGAGCAUCUGUGAAGAUAUCAGGAAAAAUGAGGAAAUGUCGGGUGAUACAUCAUGUGACAGAUCACAUGCUCAUGGACUGAGUUCUGCUAACAGUGCUUCCAGGUCAGAUCAAGGAGAAUUGACUGAGGAUGUAAUGACUCAGUAUGUGUGUGGUGGGAAUGUAGGCAAACAGAGCUCCUGUCAACAAAAAGGGAAUACUCAGAUAAUAUCAGGUGAUUCAUCACAUGACAGAUCACAUGGGAAGCAUCUCCCAGGUGACUACCCUUUACAAGGAACCCCUUCCAAUUCAUCUCCCAGAGGCAAUUGCUCAAGUUGGGAUUCAAGAAAGCAGAGCUCACAUCCAAGGAAGGAAAACACACUGAAAAUAUCAGGUGAUGCAUCACAUGACAGAUCAAAUGAGGAUUUCCCAAUCCAAACUGUUCUAGAAAACAAUUCUGACCUAUCUUCCAGAGGCAAUUACUCAAGUGAGUACGACUCUUUUCUACAAAGGCAAGUGGAUUAUCCUCAAGAGGAAAGUGUGACUGACAGUGCUACCACUUUCAAUGAUCAUACAGAAGAAAUAACGGAUUCAGAGGAACGCAGGGGGAAACGCAAAGCUGCCUUUCGAAAAACCCUUGAUGAUGGAGCAAGCCCAUCGGGAAGCACUGGAAAUGAUGCUGAAGGAAAACUUUUCAUCUGUGCAGUAUGCAGUAGAGGAUUUAAAGGGAGGCAAGCUUUGGAUAGGCAUAUGAGAAGCCAUUCAGAAGAGAUGCCUCACGAAUGUACAAUCUGCAAGAAAAGAUUUUGGCAAAGAUCUGAUCUGAGGAAACAUUUCCGAAUCCAUCCAGAGGGAAAGCCAUAUUCAUGCUCUCUUUGCGAGAAACGAUAUUUCGACAACGCUAAUCUCAGAGCACAUAUGUCGGUUCAUAGCAGGAAAAAUCAUCACCCUUGUUCAUUUUGCAACGAGAUAUACGUGAGCAGGUCUGAACUUGAUGCACAUGUUAAAACCCAUGCUUAUGAGAAACCGUAUCAGUGUACGGAUUGCGAUUUGAGAUUUUGUAGCAAUGCUGCACUCCAGGCUCAUAAGAGAAUCCAUACAGGUGAAAGGCCUUUUAUGUGCCCCUUUUGCAACAAAACAUUCACCACACCUUCUCUGAUGAGGACACAUUUGAGAAUCCACACAGGCGAGAAGCCCUAUGAGUGUUCUGUGUGUGGCGACAGAUUUUCCUUCAAUACACAACUUGUGGUUCACAAGGCAAAGCACACGGGAGUGAAGCCGCACCUGUGCUCUAUCUGUGGAAAGGGGUUUUGGAGAAAAACCUGUUUAAAUAGACAUGCAAAGACUCACGCAGGAAAAAUUCAACACCCUAAAACCCACGUUGAGGAGAAACCGUACCAGUGUCCAGACUGCAAUUUGAGAUUUAAGCGAUUUUCUUGGCUUCAGACUCAUUUUAGAAGCACCCAUAAAGAACAAAAUAUCAAGCCGUUUAAAUGCCGCUAUUGUCCAAAGGCAUUUGCCACAUCUGGUCAGCUCAAAGUACACACCAGAAUGCACACAGGCGAGAAACCGUAUGAAUGCUCUCAGUGUGGUGACAGGUUUUCCUUCAACAACCAACUCAUGGACCACAAGAACAAACACAGAGGGGUCAAGCCAUAUUCCUGCCCCGUUUGUGAGAAAGGAUUUUGGAGAAAAAACUGUUUGAAUAGACACAUUGAGACUCACGAGAGAAAAAAAGAGAGUGGUCUUGUACCAUGAAUGAAAAGCCAUGCUAAUUGAUCUUGUUGACCUUUGAAUACUGCCAUCACUUGGUACUUUAACCUGUUGCCCAGUGUACAAAGUCUAUGGUUGGGAUUCAAGAAAGCAGAGCUCAUAUCAAAGAAAGGCUCAGGAAACAUCAGGUACAUCACACGAAGAACAUCCUCCACAGGAUUUCCCAAUCCAAGCUUUUCUCGGAAACCAUUCUGAUCUAUCUACCGGAGGCAAUUACUCAUGUGAGUAUGACUCUUUUCAUCAAGGACAGAGUUUUGCUGACAUUGCUACCACGUUAGAUCAUGAUGGUGAAAGAUUGGAUAGAGACAUUACGAUGGGCUGUGGUGUGAAAGGUGACAAAACAUCAGGUGGUGAUUCAAGAGGGCAGAGCUCACAUCAAAAGGAAAGCACACUGAAAAUGUCUCUUGAUACAUCAGGUGACACAUCACAUGACAGACCACAUGGGGAUCACCUUCCAGAGGAUUUCCCAAUCCUAGCUGUUCUCGGAAACGUUUCUGAGCUAUCUACCAGAGGCAGUUACUCAAGUGAGUAUGAUUCUCAUCCCAUACCAAACCAAGCAGAUUAUUCUCAAUGGCAGAGUGCAACUGACAGUGCCACCAUGUCGGAUGACCAUGAAGAAGAAAGAUUGGAUCUGAAAACAGACAAUGCAAUGGGACUGGGUGAGAAUUGUGAAACUGCCUCUUCAAAGCAGAAAUCUUCCCAGAUUUCAUCAACAAGAACCGAACAAUCAAACCCUUGCAUCAAUUCUGCUGGAGAACAACUCUUUACCUGUACAGUUUGCCAGAAAGGAUAUAAUCGUAAGCACAAUUUGUACAGGCACAUGAGACUCCAUUCUGAGGAGAGACCUCAUGAGUGCACCUACUGCAAGAAACGAUUUUGGCAAAGCAGCGAGUUGAAGAGACACCUUCGAAUCCAUACUGGACAGAAACCGUAUUUGUGUUCAGUCUGCGACAAACGGUUUCGCGAUACCUCUAAUCUCAAGGCGCAUAUGGCAGCUCAUGUUCGUAAGAGGAGGAAGCAUCAAUGUUCAUUCUGCGAUGAGGGAUUUCCAACUAGAAAUCUGCGAGAUGCCCACAGUGCAUCAGCUCAUCCGAGUGAGAAACCGUAUUGUUGCACGGAGUGUGAUAUGAGAUUUUGCCGUCGUGGUUCGCUCCAGGCACAUAUUUGGAGAACCCAUACAGCUAGAGACAAACCGCAUGUGUGUUCAAUUUGCAACAAAGCAUUUUCGCAUUUGUGUUUCCUCACAAUACACAAAAGAAUCCACACGGGUGAGAAGCCCUAUGAAUGUCCCGUCUGUGGUGACAGAUUUUCCUUCCAUACCCAACUUGCGGAUCACAAAGCAAAGCACACAGGAGUCAAGCCGUAUUCAUGCUCCAUCUGUGAGAAAAGGUUUUGGAGGAACAGUUGUUUGAAUAGACACCAGAGGACCCAUACAAAAGAGAAGCCCUUUCAGUGUCCCGAGUGUGGCAAAUGCUUUACCGAAAAGAGUUCUCUUAUCAAGCAUUUGAAUACACACCCACUUUGAUAAUUUCAUGACUUAUGCACUUUUGAUUGGUUUGCCGAAAAGAAAUGAAAGUUUGGGUGAUCCUUUUCAGGACCAACUAUUGCUCGAGAAAGAGUUUUGAUGGUCCUUUUCAGGACCAACAAUCGCUCAAGAAAGAUACAUGGUGUACCCUGAAACCUACUACACUAUUCUUCUUCAUCAUGGAAACCUUCAGAAGUUACACUUUAAUGCCACCUCCUGAAUAAACAUGAAUGAAUUUAUUGAUUAACUUCCUUCACUUGACAUGAACCUUUUGUUUUAUAAUAUAUACGAUGAUAUAUGAUAUAAAGGGAAAUCAUAUUGAAUGCUUAUUCUCAUUUUGCAGACAUUCAAAUAUGACAAAUUUGUGCUGCAUUUCCAAUAGCAUAACAAAUCGUGAUUCAGAGUAAAUCACCACAAACAAAAAAUAUCAAGCAGAAAAAUAAAAAAUUUUCCCCCAGAGUCAUCAGAAAUUACCCCAAGUACAUGUAGCAACUAUGUUUGGAUAAAUGAACAAAGCAUUUUGAUCAAGACUCCAGUUCCAAUGUCAUGAUGUAAAUGAUAUUUUCCUGGCACUCCAUAUCAAUAUACCUAACAUGUAAAAUCUUGAAGAUGUUAUACAUGUACCUCAGUCACUUGCUCUACGGCGGCCGUAUGCCAAGUAAAAAACAGCCGUUUUAUUCAUUCUUAAUCAAACUACCUAUAAAUGUAAAAUGUUAAAAAGGCCAUUUUCAACUCGCCGUACGGCCACCAUAGAGCAAAUGUGACUGAGGUAUUAGGAUCAUAUAAUGUUUAACUGUUAGAAACUGGUUUGUCUUUGUUACUAGGGUUCCACAAGGCCAAGUGUUACCUGCAUGUAGUUAAAAAAAAGGGGAAGUUCACCUUGACAAAUAAACUUCAUUGUAAAAAUAUCACAGAAUAAAAUAUAAAAAUACUGUCAAAUGUUUGAGAAAAAUCCAUCAAAGAAUACAGAAGCUAUUAGAAUUUUAAAAUAUGGGGCAGCUGCUCAUUUAUGACAUCACAAAUCCAAGAAUUAAAAUUCUAGUACAUUUAAUCUUUAAUGCAUUUUCCUCAAACCUUCACCAAUAUUUUUUUUCUGUUAUUUUUACAAUUUUCUUCAGCGUGAACUUCCCCUUUAAACGUAACACUGAAAUGCUGUAGUGUGUGAACUUACAUGUAGCGCCCUGUGACAAUACAGGUAUUUAGUUUUGAACUAUUUGGUAUUGUAUUUCCUGAAUUAUGGAUGUGUAUUAAUUAAUGUCAAAAAAUCUAUGCUUCCAGGCCAUGGAUUCAAUACCAUUUCAAAGUAAUUUCAAAGUAAUUGAGGAAAAGUAUCAAAAAUUGAAUUGAAAAAAAAAUGUGUAUAAAAACUGUGUAUUUUCGCUGAAAAGGUGCCUUUGAA